GGCCCGGUGACCCGAGCGUGGAGCCCAAACCCGAUCCCAUCCCGAACUCGGCCGUUAAACUCCACAGCGCCGAUGGUACUGUGUCUCAAGACCCGGGAGAGUAGGUCGUUGCCGGGCCU
rnacentral:rRNA from 1 species